GCCGGUCCUUUUCCCCCUUCCCUAAACCUCUCUUUGCUUCCAUGGUGCGGUGGUCAGUGUUGUUUACGGAAGGGGGAAAAAAAACGAGGC
ensembl:miRNA gga-mir-1787 gga-mir-1787